GCGGCCGCUGAUGAGGAUUGUCCCCUCGUGUUCGAGUUGGCCGACCAUGAGACCACCGCAUGCACUACCAUCUGAGGCCGC
rnacentral:snoRNA from 12 species